UGUAUGGCAUGCUGGGAUGUGCCAGG
rnacentral:piRNA from 1 species